rnacentral:rRNA from 1 species
UCAGGUGGUUAUAGCAUUGGGGUUCCACCUCUUCCCAUUCCGAACAGAGAAGUUAAGCCCAAUAGCGCCGAUGGUACUGCAUACUGUGGGAGAGUAGGUCGCCGCCGACU